GAUUUACGAUCUCUCAUUAGAAUUGAGAGUUGUUUAGAAAUUACAUAACGUAAACUCUAAUACUCAUGGCAAAUUGAGUUGACCGGUUUGACUUGUUGACUUUAGUUGACUUUGACUUGACUGAAAAUUGACGGUUGUCACAUCAUCCCCCCGUUAGAGGGAAUUUCGUCCCGAAAUUCGAAUUUAGGCUAGGAGUUGGUAAAUGACUAAGGUCGGCUCUACAUUAUUUUGAUUCUGACUAAGAGAUGAGUUAUUAUACACGAAAUCUUAGUUCAUACACAUUAUGAUAUAACCAAUACUGGGCGGAUAGUAAAAUGUGUGAUUCUACUUCAGUUUCACAUCCCAACGAGGAAAAGAAACUAAGUUAGAAUUCUCACAUGCUAUUAUCUACCAGGUAUUCGUUAUAUAUAACUGGGGAAUGUAUAAGUGAGGAANCUAUUAUCUACCAGGUGUUCGUUAUAUAUAACUGGGGAAUGUAUAAGUGAGGGAAUCAUAACAAAUAACUUAGUAAUCCUUCUUACUACGAUAAUGAUGAACUGAUCCUAGUAAGUAUGACACAUCCUAAGAAUACUGCGAACGGGUUGGUCCUAUCCGAGGGGUAUCACUACAGACUUGCAGCGUUCGCAUUGAAUUUGGAGGGUUAUCCUCAGACAUCCUUAUCCAAUACUCGCGACUGGUGAUAUUCAGAUCUCAGGUCUGAUUCCUAAGGGGUACCUCGUUCCUUGU
rnacentral:lncRNA from 1 species